UACAGAGGGUGCGAGCGUUGUCCGGAAUCACUGGGCGUAAAGGGCGCGUAGGUGGCGCUGCAAGUCGGUGGUGAAAGCUCGUCGCUUAACGACGAGUCGGCCAUCGAAACUGCGGGGCUGGAGCACUGUAGGGGCAGAUGGAAUUCCGGGUGUAGCGGUGGAAUGCGUAGAGAUCCGGAAGAACACCGGUGGCGAAGGCGGUCUGCUGGGCAGUUGCUGACACUGAGGCGCGACAGCGUGGGGAGCAAACAGG
rnacentral:rRNA from 1 species